UACAUAGGUCUCAAGCGUUGUUCGGAUUCAUUGGGCGUAAAGGGUGUGUAGGUGGCGCGCUAAGUCGGGUGUGAAAUUUCGGAGCUUAACUCCGAAACUGCAUUCGAUACUGGCGUGCUUGAGGACUGGAGAGGAGACUGGAAUUCAUGGUGUAGCAGUGAAAUGCGUAGAGAUCAUGAGGAAGACCAGUGGCGAAGGCGGGUCUCUGGACAGUUCCUGACACUGAGACACGAAGGAUAGGGGAGCAAACGGG
rnacentral:rRNA from 1 species